rnacentral:rRNA from 1 species
ACGCUCGACACCUACUGGAGGCAGCAGUCGGGAAUAUUGCGCAAUGGAGGAAACUCUGACGCAGUGACGCCGCGUAUGGGAAGAAGGUUUUCGGAUUGUAAACCAUUUUAGACAAGGAAGAAACAAGACAGUACUUGUAGAAUAAGCUCCGGCUAACUACGUGCCAGCAGCCGCGGUAAUCUGAGCGGGCUGGCAAGGC